rnacentral:tRNA from 1 species
GGCUACGUGAUGGAAUUGGUAUACAUAGGGCAUUCAAAAUGCCCCGCCUAACAGCAUGUCGGUUCGAGUCCGACCGUAGCUACCA